AUGGGCCGUUUAGCUGUAAUGCUUUCAACACCGCCAGUACUGGAACCACUGAGCCUCUACAUCUCAGUAUCAGCUUCCAACCCUCAGGCUGAGUUUCAAUGGGCUUUCAAUGGGAACCAGCUGAAUGGGACAAAUCCAGAUCUGAAGCUAUACAGUGCUGUGGAGAGCCAGAGUGGCCUAAGCUCCUGCCUGGCUUUCAACAACAGAACCAUGAGCUACAUCAACGUCACCAGACAGAUCACCAUCAGCUGUGGGUCAGUGUCAGUACAGCUGGGGGUUAGUGUCUGGCUCCUUCUCCUCCUCUCCUCAUUGGCCAGGGUCCUCAUCUGAACGUCAAUGGACAAGCAAGUCUCACAGACCAAAAAAUGUAUUUAGUUAAGUGAACCCAUAAAAGAUAAUUAUUCAAACAUGCAUUUCACUUACGUAGUUCCAUGGGCCAGGGCAAUGUGAAUAAAAUGAUGUAAUUGACUGAAAGAGUUUUAUAAUAUGGUGAAAUAAUGUCAUAGAUGUUGAUAUAACCGAACAUGGUCACUCGUGUUCAAUGUCAGACCACAGUGUGCUUCUUGUGAUGAUGUAUAAUGGCUAUGAUAUCAGAAGGGUGUGUGUCCCCACUGGCUUCAACUGAGUAUACAAAACAUUAAGAACUGCUCUUUCCAUGACAUAGACUGACCAGGUGAAUCCAGGUGAAAGCUAUUAUCCCUUAUUGAUGUUACUUGUUAAAUCCACUUCAAUCAGUAUAGAAUGAAGGGGAAGAGACAGGUUAUAGAAGGAUUUUUAAGCCUUGAGACAUGUAUUGUGCAUGUGUGCCAUUCAGAGGGUCAAUGGGUAAGAGACCAUAUUUAAGUGCCUUUGAAUGGGGUAUGGUAGUAGCUGCCAGGGCAACAGUUUGAGGGUGCAAUUCAAUAUUAGGAAGGUGUUCCUGAUGUUUUGUACACUCACUGUAUUUAGAACGAGAGAAUACAUUGCACCAUAUUAAUCUAGUCAAAUAUCUAUCCAUUCAAAUAUUUACAGAGAAGAAUGAAAAAUGUGUAGAAAUAUAUUUAACCACUAUGAUGUUAUUUAAAACACGGCAUCACUCAUCAUCACGAUGGUAUUUACAGGAGUAAAACUUAGGGAAACACAAGAGGCACCUGUGUAAUGAUCAUGCUGUUAAAUCAUUGUCUUAAUAUGCCGCACCUGUCAGGUGGAUGGAUUAUCUUGAAAAAGGCUAAAAUGCUCAGGUUAAUGUAAACUUCCUACUUCAACUGUAUCUUGUCAAAUAUUAACAGAGAAGAAUACCAUGGUAUUUACAGGAGUGAAACUGACACAUGACUCUUUCACAAUGUCUUACAAAUAUUUUCCACAGAUUUCUGGACCUGUCAUCCUGAGAAGGAACAUUUCUGCUGUAAUUGCAUCCUGAUACAGAAUAUAUCUCUCAUUCCACUAUCAUGCUGUCGAUGGAAUUAUUUAUCUGAACAUUUUAGCAAAACAUCCUUCAUUGUCUUUUUUCAUUAUUGAAGAUUUAUUCUUCCAGAUUAGUAUCACAAUGAAGAAUCAUAUAUCAUGUACAGUAUUUCAACACCUCUCAGUACUGUAAUUUGCUCGAGACCUGGUGGAAUAACCAAAGUGUAUCAAGCAUUCUUGCUGGAAUAUGACUCUGAUUUGAAUAUAAAGUUCUUAAUUGUUUUGAUAAAGUUGUUUUAAACAAACUAUUAUUUUCAAUAAAUCUGACUGUUCAAUAAUGGUACACAGUGCAUUCAUGCAACAUGUUCUACAGUAUAUGGAAAGGAAAGGUAUGUGUUUAUUUAACAGAACAAUACUAACACAUCACUCCUAUUCCUUAUUGCUAUGAGCUGACUGAAAACAGUCAUAAAGCAUACCUCAUUUGAGACAGUAUAGAUUAUGAUAAAAUAAGUUCCAAGCAUCACACACUUCAAACCCUUAAUCAUAGAUAUAAAGCAGUGUUCUAUAUGCCCUUGACCCUGUUCAGUGUUUACAUCUGUCAACGUGUUGGUGACAGUCAUAAGGAAUUACUCUUCACAACAACCCUGCAUGUGAGCUGAAUCUGCUGGGGGUGGAACCACUAUACCAUUAUUCAGACGAAUGCCAUUUACCUGUCAGGAACACAAAGAUGGUCACCAAGUUAUGGAUGUUUUUAGCUUUACAGACAAACAAAAACUCAUGACAUAGUAUUAUUGGAAGCAACUAUUAAAUACC
ensembl:lncRNA